UUGGGUAUUUUGGUAAUUUCACACUUUGAUCCUAUCUAUUUCAUUCCAGCACGACUCCUGGAGCUCAGUGGAGGUUGCUGGAGACCAGAGAAGCAACCUUGCACCAUUCUUUCUCUCUCUCUCUAGGGUUUUUCUCUCUCUACAAAGAAGUCGCCGAUUUCGCUCGUUUUCGUCGUCGCGCGCGUUCUUCGCUGGUUGCGAGCGUCGCAGCGCCUUUGUGGACGUGUGAGAGAGUGUUUUGGAAGACUCUUUGCUGUCCUGAACCAGUAGGGUCACUGGUUGGAAGCUUAAGAAGCAGGUCUUUGUGCCUUUUUGAGCUGAACUUACACUCUUAGAAGCUGAUUUGGAAGGUAUUCUAACCUGAGCGAGAGUGCGAACGAGCCUUGGAUCGUCGUGAGCUGACUUGUGAGAGCUCUUGGAGACUUAUCUUGAGCAGCAUUGGGGCUUCGUUGAGACGAUUUUGGGACCUCUUUUGGACUGCUUGGAGCUUAGUAAUAGGUGGGUCGGACCUAACCAGAGCAAGUGGAGCUCCCCUAUGUUCUAUAUGUGCUAUAGAAUUGGUGUUGUUGUGCGCUUUUGUGUUUGAUAUAGGACUUGAGAAGUAAAUUGACUUGAAAUCUCUAUAAAGUAGAGAACACAUAUACAUGAACGUAUUUGUCUUUAUAUUCAAUUCAGUUGAAUGACUUAUGAACAAGUGUAGAAUGCACUUAUGAAACGUAGAGAA